CUGGGUGAUGCCCUGUGCUGGGUGAUGCCCUGUGCUGGGUGAUGCACUGUGCUGGGUGAUGCCCUGUGCUGGGUGAUGCACUGUGCUGGGUGAUGCCCUGUGCUGGGUGAUGCCCUGUGCUGGGUGUGAACCCUGUGAAACCACUGUUUGUAUCAUUUGUUCAUGCAUGCUUUGCUGUAAAUUCAAAUGCAUAAUUUGGACUAUAUCUUAUAUGUAUUACUUGAACAUUCAUAUUUCACAAUGGAUUCUGCAAUAUUUGUACCGAGUGACAGGUUUGUGUGGUAGAACACAAUGUAUGAACGAGUAGUUUUCCCUGGUAUGAAUGAUGAAAUAACUGAAUUCACAGCAUGAAGGGGGAAUGAGUGUGUAUGGCUCGGUCACGGUGUUGGUUGGGCUGUGCUGGACAGGUGGGGUUUCCCCUUACUUGACUGUCAGAUUGACUGUUUUGUCCACCUGAGCUGUGGGACAGAUGGCUGGCUCUCUCCUGUGGUAGGCCCCCAAACAGGCACUGAGGAGUCCUGACAGACUGCCUGUGAAAUCAAUGUGUUGCCAUGGGACCAGACAUCUUGGUGUUCAGAGCUUCCAAGAUGUUAGUCUGAAUUAUGGGAUGUGAGGUGUCUUGAUUAGUAGGGAUGUAAUGAUUCACCGAUACACAUCGUCCCCGCGUUUAUCGUCCCACGUUCUCAAUAAUUUACUGAAAUUUGUUGGUCACACCAGCGUGGAACAGGUGACUUGACACACCAGCGAGGAAGAGAUGACGUGACACACCAGCGAGGAAGAGGUGACGUGACACACCAGCAUGGAAGAGGUGACGUGACACACCAGCGAGGAAGAGGUGACGUGACACACCAGCGAGGAAGAGGUGACGUGACACACCAGCAUGGAAGAGGUGACGUGACACACCAGCGAGGAAGAGGUGACGUGACACACCAGCGAGGAAGAGGUGACGUGACACACCAGCGAGGAAGAGAUGACGUGACACACCAGCGAGGAAGAGAUGACGUGACACACCAGCGAGGAAGAGGUGACGUGACACACCAGCGAGGAAGAGGUGACGUGACACACCAGCGAGGAAGAGGUGACGUGACACACCAGCAUGGAAGAGGUGACGUGACACACCAGCGUGGAAGAGGUGACGUGACACACCAGCGUGGAAGAGGUGACGUGACACACCAGCGAGGAAGAGGUGACGUGACACACCAGCGAGGAAGAGGUGACGUGACACACCAGCGAGGAAGAGGUGACGUGACACACCAGCGAGGAAGAGGUGACGUGACACACCAGCGUGGAAGAGGUGACGUGACACACCAGCGAGGAAGAGGUGACGUGACACACCAGCGAGGAAGAGGUGACGUGACACACCAGCGAGGAAGAGGUGACGUGACACACCAGCGAGGAAGAGGUGACGUGACACACCAGCGAGGAAGAGGUGAGGUGACCUGACACACCAGCGAGGAAGAGGUGAUGUGAGCGGGGACAACUGGCCCUAACUGGUUCUUCUCCAGCAGGUGUUCAUUUAAAGAAUGUUGCUCACCAAGCAAGAAGUUUUGUUGAAUUUGGUUAACAAAAAAUGUAGUGGCUUAUUUGAUUGAAAGUAAGUUGUGUAGU